AUACAGCCGCUAAUUCAAGGGAUGAUCAUCUCGACAAAAUGUGGUUCCUGUAGUGUUUUCAGGUAAGUUUGUGUUGCAAUUCCUUUCUUUGCUGCCUGAAACGUUUGCUGAACGCUUUGUGUUGCCAGUACUUUUUUCCAACCGGGCUCACACCCCUUUCCAUUAACUGCUCAACGAAAAUAUUCAGUACACAAAUCUUAGCUACAACUGAACCGACAGAAAAGGGGGCGGGAAAGUGGAGAAGCGACCUGGGGCAUUAACAGGAAACCCGCUGCAGGUGCUCGCUGUCGAAACACCUACCACGGGGGAAAAACCUGUUAACACCAUCAACUACGAGCAGUAGCACAGGGCUGGGAUCUCAGAUUGCAGAAGUAUUACAAAGACUAUCUCAGCAGGCAGCAUACCUUAGUGAGAACUACUAAGCAAAAGGCACAAAGCAUAUAGAACCAGAGCAUAGCAAUCAUCUUUCAUCCACGCUGAACACCAGCAGCAUCUUCAAUCAUGAGCCUACCCCGAGAAGCAGAACAAUCAGCAGAGACAAGGCCACGUGAAUCACCCUCUGCACUCCAGCUUGAAAUGUGGCUCUAUCCUCCAUCUUCAGAAGCCCUGCCCAAUACAUCAUACAGGAAAAAGCAGUGAAAACAGGUUCCAAGGGAGUACGCACAACAUAGGACACAAUCAUAGGAGCUUGUUGAACUGGCAGCUGCAACGUUUCAUCUUGAGCAAGCCAUUUUGGCGUAGACGCCUUGUUAGACUAUUUAUCUCUUCAGAUUAAGAGACUUGAAUCUGAGGGUUUGCAAUCCGAGUUUAAGCAUCAAUAGUGCACCUUUCUUGUUGCUUCCUACAAAACAUUUCCUCCCCUAUUCACUUUUCUGUGAGGAAACAACGAUAUCACUGUCUUUCUGUGGAUCCUAAGUCCUAACGCGUAAGUCCUUUUGGAUGCUAAUUUGUUUAUUUAGGGUACUUAAUUAUUAUUUUGAGGGUGCUGGAUGCUAAUUUGUGAGCACGGUAAUAGUAAAACAUGUCCUUUCUCUGCAGAUCAUCUGCGUGUUCUCAGAAAAGCUAUAUGUAUCUUACUAAAUGAUAUUCGUGUUGCAUGAGUAGAGAAAAAGUAACUUUCUUUUAAUGCAACUUAGCAACUCAAGUAAAUAAGGAGUGCCAAAGUAAGGGACUGCAGAUUAUUGGCUCAUGGACCCAAUUUUUUUUAAGAAAAUUAUAUGAAAAUCAAAAUUUAAAGUUUGAAACAAUUCUA
rnacentral:lncRNA from 1 species